CCUACGGGGGGCAGCAGUGAGGAAUAUUGGUCAAUGGCCGGAAGGCUGAACCAGCCAUGCCGCGUGAAGGUCAGUGCCCUAUGGGCGUUAAACUUCUUUUGUGCGGGAGCAAUAAUGGUCACGUGUGGCCAGACGAGAGUACCGUAUGAAUAAGCAUCGGCUAACUCCGUGCCAGCAGCCGCGGUAAUACGGGGGAUGCAAGCGUUAUCCGGAUUUAUUGGGUUUAAAGGGUGCGUAGGCUGUGAGGUAAGUCAGCGGUGAAAUGCCCCCGCUCAACGGGGUGAAGUGCCAUUGAUACUGCCUGGCUGGAAUGCGGAUGCCGUGGGAGGAAUGUGUGGUGUAGCGGUGAAAUGCAUAGAUAUCACACAGAACACCGAUUGCGAAGGCAUCUCACGAAUCCGCGAUUGACGCUGAUGCACGAAAGCGUGGGUAUCAAACAGGAUUAGAUACCCCAGUAGUC
rnacentral:rRNA from 1 species